rnacentral:lncRNA from 10 species
UGCUCAUCUCCUGGGCAUCUACCCAGGCACCCGGGGUCCCUGACCAAUUCAUUGGCGGCAGGUCUGAGACAGAUUUCACUCUCACCUUCAGUAGCCUCCAGGCUGGAGAUGUGGCAGUUUAUUACUGUCAGCACUAUUAUAGCACUUUAUAGUUUGAAGUCCGCUAGUGUAAUGCCUUCUGCUUA